rnacentral:lncRNA from 1 species
AUGACGCGAGGUCUAGCUAACUCCAGCGUGGCCAGGGAAAGGCUCUGGGUUUGGCCCCGCACCGGGAGAGAACGCAGAAACGGCCCCGAGGACGUAGUGUACAACGCGGCCUCUAGGUGGGGCUGCGCGUUAGGGGUGGACGACGGAUUGGACCAGACUGGCCGGUGUCUUGGGAGAGCUCCAGUGCUUGUUGCCCUAGCAUUAAUUGAAGGUGGAAUGAAACACGAAGAUGCAGUAUGGUUCAUAGACAAAAGCGGCUCAGAGCUUUUAACAGCAAGCAACUCUUAUAUCUAGAGAAGUAUCUUUCUAAAAUGCGACUCCACUUCAAAGACUCCAAUGGUCACAGGAACAACUGUUGCAUGCAAUAAAACUGGGGUGCCUGAUGUGACUGCCUUGGAUGUGCAGCUUGAGGUGGGACCUGACUGUCAUACAGA